rnacentral:sRNA from 1 species
AAUUCCUAAGGGUGGUUCUUGGAACGGG